rnacentral:rRNA from 1 species
GCUUGACAUUAAAUACAUUUAACUUGUUUGGUUGGAGUUUAUUUUUAUGUAGUAAAUGUUUCGUUGGGGUGACGGGAAGAUAAAAGAAACUCUUUCUAAUUUCCCACACAAAUGAGUGAGUAAUUGAUCCAUAAAUAAUGAUUAUAAGACUAAGU